AUUGAACGCUGGCGGCAGGCCUAACACAUGCAAGUCAAGCGGGGUUUUCGGACCUAGCGGCGGACGGGUGAGUAAUGCGUAGGAAGCUGCCCGAUAGAGGGGGAUACCAGUUGGAAACGACUGUUAAUACCGCAUAAUGUCUACGGACCAAAGUGUGGGACCUUCGGGCCACAUGCUAUCGGAUGCGCCUACGUGGGAUU
rnacentral:rRNA from 1 species